AUAUACAUGCACACUUAUAAAAAUAAGUCAAAGGAGUUACUCUAAAACUGAUCACAAAGCACCGAUUGGACACCACAGACUAAAACAACAACAACAACAACAACAACAAAAUCCAAGUGCCAAGAAUAGGUCACCUCGUCAUUGAUGGCUGAGGUCCCAUACAGUGCUGAACAUGAACACUAUAGACUAUUACAAGUGUUCUUUGUUACUUUCCAGAACUUGAUGACAAUGACAAAACCCUAUUGCUGAAGACACACACACUUGAAUCAUAGAACACGGACAAAUCAAGCUGGAAUUCACCAGGAAGUUCCAUCUAUACCUGCCAGCUUUCAUAGUGCCGGAAGGUGUGGUACAUGCUGGUAGGAGGAAAGUAAUUAUCCGUCUUACCCAACCAUGAACCCUGAGAACUACAGUAGUGAGACUGGCUGGUGCAGCAGUGGGAUGCCUGUUAUGGAAGCAACCAGCCGUGUUGACUGGAUUUAAGUUUCCAUUCACAAGAUAAAACCAUACCUGGAACUGUUACUGGGGCCAAGAACCCAUGGCCAUUAAGGUCUUAGGUCCUAGGGGGGACCCUAAAUUCUGCUAAAUGUACGCAGUCUUAAACUGACUCCUGAUGACUUUAUAGUGACAGCCACAGAUUUGUGCGUCUCAGAACCCUCGUCAGAGAAGCCUCUUUCCUUCGUAGAUGGUGAUUAACACAGAGAUCAUUCUGACUGAGUAGAUCUGGGGCUCAGAUGGAAACACGUUUCUAAGUGAUUUGAGUAAGCAGCUUGAGGCUGAGAAGCACUGCUCUGAAGACUGACUUGGUAGACUGAGGUGAUCUGGGUACUCUGUACUUAGAAACAUAUGUUCCAGAGAAUGUCAUGUACAGAUGUGCCUAGAAUUCCCUGUCUUCUUUCUGACUACAGUAAAGGAUUCUUCCAAGGCAGUGCCAGCAUCACAGGUCCUGUCUGGUGUGGAGUACAAGUUUCCUUGUUGGUGCCUUGGUUUCCCAGUCUGACCAGGGAAGCAAGUAUGGUACCCUGGGAUAAGCGAGCGGGUUGUAUAUUUACUCCCACUAUGCACCCUUCACUGUGUUGGCCCUUGCACACUGGCUAUAGGAAUUUUUCUACAGAGUCCCCUUGCCCUCUAGUGUCCACCAGGCAGUGGGAGCCCCAGCAAGAUUGGCCUGCUUGAGGAAAGUGAAGGGGUAUUGAUGUUCCUUCCUCUGGCCCGCUGGCUUACUGUAGGGUCCCUCACCUCCUCUGCCUCAGAGUGGCAGUGCCUCCCUGUUUCUGCCAGCUUCAUGGUCCCCUGCCAUGUCCAUUGCUUUCUCUCAAUGCUGCCCUCCCCUCUGUGCCAUGCUCCUCUUUCCAGUUCCCCCAGAGCCUCUCCCUAGUUUUUAGGAUAGAGAUGGAACCCAGGCCUCAGCUGUGCUAGGCCUACACCGCAACUGAGCUAUAGUCGCAACUAGAGUCCCAGCCUUUGAUUACUUUCUGUUUGCUGCUGUAUAAUGACCGCUACCGAGAAUGUCUCAACAUAGCCAGACACAGUGAAGCUGGCUCCUAGUUCUAGCACUUCUGAGGUGGAGGCUGGAAGACCAUGAGUUUAAGACCAGCCUGAACCACAUAGCCCCAGGUCUUGUUUUAUGGUUACGGUUUUACCAGUCUCUCCCACCCCCACCACUAAACACCUCUUUCCCUCCCUCUCUUCUCUUUUUGCUGACUGCCCACUGUGUGUGUGUGUG
rnacentral:lncRNA from 1 species